rnacentral:lncRNA from 1 species
AUUGCAUUGAAGCCAGGACCGUCACCCAUAAUGUACACAACUAAGGCACACUUCCAUUUAGCUUCCUCCUCCUCUACUUCAGUUUUUUCCAGUUGUACCAUUGGUUUCCCAUCGACCAUCAUUGGGGGAAUGUAAUCAAGAGCCAUACCAUGUGUCGCAAAGCGAUUCUUCUGAAAGAGUGUUGACCAGCUCUUCUGGUUUAGCUUUGGUAGGUCCUGUUUGCUCCUCCGGUGGUAAUGUUGGUUGCAUGGUGGUCUCUAUGGCAUCAGUUGCUUCUACUGCAUUUGGAGUGGUUGAUAUGCCUCCAAUCUCUGGUGUCUCAUGUGCUUCCGUAAUUGUUUCUACUAGUGGCACUGAUUGCGUUAUCACUUAUGCUGGAGCUUGCUCGCCGGAAUCCAUGGUGUCUAGGGUUUGCGAUUGAGGCAAACUCUGCACCUCCUUGGCAUUGUUCUUCUCCAUAAUCAAUAGAUUUAGUUUGUCAAA